GGCUUCCGUCCCGGGCUGCUGGACAAGUGGGUGGCGUUGACCAAGGCACUGGGCCCACACGGGCCGCACCCUGCGUGAUCCGUUGUCUCCAAGCAGGCUGCCCCACUUACGAGGAACCUUUGAUCCUGACCACUGCCUGCCCACCCCAAAAGAGCCUAGUGCCUGGAAGGAGAGGGACAGGAACACUUGGGUGGAUUCCACCGCCUGGCCAUGUCUAGAAUCCCAGAGGCCAUGGCUCUGAGGAGGCUGGGCUCAGCGGCCAGAACACUCACUGACUGCUCCAUCUCUCCCAUUGGCAUGGACAGAGCAUGUUCACAGGCUGGGAGUUCCCUCCAUGGCGGGCUGCAGGGUCACCAUGUGACACACAGGACACACCUGCCACAACUGCAAGGCAGGGCUGCUCCCAAAGGACCACGCGCAAGUCCGGUCUCUGUCGUGACUUGGUUCCAGAAGAGGCUGCACCCGACAACGCUCUGUUAAAGAUGUGUCUGUGUAGCUCUAUGCCUGGAGACGCUAUUGCAGUGUGUGUGAUAACAAAAGCCGGCUGUGACCUUAACAGUCAAGAGCCCAGGACGGGAACCCAAGGCAGAUCACGUUUACAUAACAGAAUGCAUUGUGGUGGUGAAAAAAUGACAUUCCUGCAGGAUUUUUAAUAUUGUAGAGAAGUGUCUAUGGUGUAAGGUCAUGUGAAACCCAGGACAUCUGCAGAUAUGUGUGUUCAGGUAGCUUCAACUAGGAGCAGUGUGGUCAAAGCUAAUAGUGAACCCUGUACGAAUCCACUGUAUUUAAACACGUGGAGAGAGAAAACAGGACAGGUUGGGGCGAUGACUCAAUUGGUGGUGUGCUUGCUGUACAAACCUGAGGUCCUGAGUUCAGUUCCCAAAACCACAUGAGAAAGCCAGGGGUGAUAUCAUGUGCUUGCAAUUCUCGACACCAAAGAACACAGGCAGAUCCCCCAGCUCAAGAGCAGCUGGCCUAGAAAACUUGUCAGGUUCUAGGCCAGUAAGAGUCCCUGUCUUAAUGUUGUCCUCCAGCCUCCGUAUGCAUGUACACACGAGUUACCCGAGGAAGGUGGGGAGAUUGCACAGACAUGCUUAUACACAUGCAAACACUUUUCAGAGUGUAAUAGAGAUGGUUCAGUGAAGCACUUGCUGCUCUAGCAGAGGACCAGAGUUUGAUUUCCAGUACUCGUGUUGGAAAGCUCACAGUCACCUGUUACUCCGUUCUGGGGGAUCUGAUCCCAUUCUGGCCUCUUUGCAUACCCACAUGUACACGCAUAAACACACACAUAAACAAACAUCUUUUUUAAAAAAAUUUAAAAAAAAUCUGGAACGACAAUAGAAAAAAAUUGAACCUUUAUUCUUGGGAUUGUGGACUUUAGUGAAUUUAUCUAUUAAUUUACUGUUCUUUGAGGCAGGGUCUCACUAUGUAGCUCUGGCCAGGCUGGAGCUCCAUGUAGACCUGACUCUGGCCUUCAUCUUUUGGCAGUCCUCCUGCUUUGGCCUCCUGAGUGCUGGGAUUACAGUUGUAUGUCACUGCGCUCAGCUGAGUUUACUUAUUUUCUAACUUUACUUUAUUCCGUGUGUGUGUGUGUGUGUGUGUGCUGCUGAGGCUAGAUGAGUCCCUGGCUGCCUCCCUCAUUGGCCCCUGGUCCCUGCCACAUCCCGGCAGUCCACGAUGGUGGCUAGUUAACUGGGAUCUGCGGACAGAGGAGGUGGAGGGCUAUAUCUGGGGCCUCAGCAAAGCAGACCCCACCAGAGGAGAUGGCCUGGUGUCCUCACUGGGUAUAAUGACCUGAUGGCAAUUAAAGGCCAGCAGGGACUCCUCCCUCCAAGAAGGAUGGAUGGGAAAGGGGAGGGGCUCCCCUGGGGCUACGAAUGCUUAGAUGCUGCCACUGACAAGCUGAGCUAUCCAUAGCCCUGAGCACAAUAUGGUCAUUAACCCCUGACCCUGGCCCCUACUUAGCCACUUCCUCUGCAGGAGGAGGAGGGAGGGAUUCCAUCAUGAUGCUCUUUUUAGUGAGGUUUGGGGGGUCACAGCUCACUUGCUCUCUGUAGGCGCCUCUGGAACUCAGGUCUCAGGCUCUCUAGCUCCACAGCUAUUUCAGAUUAGAGCAGGAGAGAGCAUCUCACUCUUUGGCACCCUCAGGAGCAUUCAUGGGCCAAGUGCUUCAAGCCAGAGUAGUGUGAGAGGAAGGAAUGGACAGAGACAGACAGGGAGGCCUAGAUAAAGGCUGCCCUUGUCCCCUCCACGCAUGUUCAAAGGCACACAGAGAACAAGCCUGCUAGGAAAUGGGUCCUACUCAAACAUUAAUGCAUUAACACUCCUAAAUAGGCCCCAGCAGCACAGCCCCAGCCAGGCAGAAUAACUGGUACAUAUCCUAGAAACGCAAGCCUGGCGGAAUACUUGGAAUCUGUCUACACAACUCAGCAGUGACUGGGCGAGCUUAGGAGACAGUCCCAAGGCCAUCUCAGCCCUGGAGACACAUUUCAGCAGCUCCCUGGGGUGAAUGGUCUUAGACCCACAGGGUCAGGGUGGGGAAGGAGCCUCAGAGCUAAGGAAGAUCAUUGCUGAAGCCCAGCACAGUUUCCAAAGGGGCGGGAGACCCAUCCCUUAAAAUCAGCCUCGCUGCAUUCGCCACUCAUCCGCGCGUCUGCUCGUUUUGUAUCCGAGCUCCCAGCCAAGGCCGGUGGCUGUACAGGAAACUUCCAGAUAAAGCAGUGUAGGGGUUGGGAGGGAGGAUGCGAAGUGACAUUAAAGAGCCACAGUGGCCUACACAAAACUCCAAAGUAAUCCACAGGCAAAUAACGAGAAAAUGAAAUUUACCCAGGAGACACAUCCAUCCAAACAGUAUAAGAGACUAAUGCUGGCUGGAAAGAUGACUCAGCAUGUAAGUGCUUCUACUUCAGGGCCCGCUGACCUGCGUUCAGACCCCAGAAUACAAAUGGUAGAAGAGAAAAGACUCUCAUGGCUUACCCUUUGACCUCCAAACCUGGGCCUGUGCAUGCUUAAGUGCUUGUGCACACACACGGACACACACACACAUGCACACGGACACACACACACAUGCACACGGACACACACACACACACACAUGCACACGGACACACACACACAUGCA